UCUAUUAGUUCAUAAUCACAAACCAACAGAAAACUAAAGCCAACAUUAUGAAAUUAGUAAUGAAACCGUUUCUAUAACAUUGAAUUAACACAGGACACAGGAAAGGCUUUUCUUCCUCUAUCAACAAGCAGCAAAGCUCUUCCCCCACCAGCAGCAGAAGCAGCUACAACCACCACCGUGGAUGAAAAAGAACCUGAGCCAGCAAUUAAAGCCGCCACUGCACAAGUAACCAUAUAUCCAGCGACCGAAACUGCUACGGAACAAGUAAUCACAGAACCAACAAAAACAGAAACCAAACCGAAACUUUAUCCAAGACCAUUAUCUCCAUAUGCAUCGUACUCAUACUUGAAGCCUCCAACAUCUCCCACACCAGUAAGCAGCAAAGGUCUUCCCGCACCAGCACCAGUAGCAGCAGAAGCAGCUACAACCACCAUCGUCGAUGAACCAGAACCUGAGCUAGAGCCAGCAAUCAAAGCGGCCACUGCACAAGUAAACUCAGAGCCAGCGGCCAAAGCCGCCACUGAACAAG